UACGUAGGGUGCAAGCGUUGUCCGGAAUUAUUGGGCGUAAAGAGCUCGUAGGCGGUCUGUUGCGUCGGCUGUGAAAACCCGGGGCUCAACUCCGGGCCUGCAGCCGAUACGGGCAGACUAGAGUUCGGCAGGGGAGACUGGAAUUCCUGGUGUAGCGGUGAAAUGCGCAGAUAUCAGGAGGAACACCGGUGGCGAAGGCGGGUCUCUGGGCCGAUACUGACACUGAGAGACGAAAGCUAGGGGAGCAAAUGGG
rnacentral:rRNA from 1 species